AGUGACGUGCGCGCCCCGCGGACGCCGAGGGGGCGCGCGCGGCCGCGAGGUGCGGAGCCGCGGGAAUGGAUGAGUAGGGCCGCCCUCCGUGGAAACACGGUUUUGAAGAGGGCCUGCGUACACGCUGGGCCCUUCACAUCUGUAGACGGUGGAGGCCAGGAGAAAGGAUACUGUGUGCGAUGAGGUAAAGCAUGUGAGAGUGCUUUGUAACCGGAAAGUGCCUUUCAAAACUCCUCGUUUGCUGCUGGUACCUGAUAGAGAUGGAACUCCUGACCAUAGGACAUCAAGUGACUAUGUGAAUGAUCGAACUACUACUCGUCAUGAACUGGUGUUAUCUGAUUCACCAAUCAUACAACUGGAUGGGCAUAACAGCAGUUCACUCCCUACAAAACUGGGUACAUGGCCACAACUAAACUGAAUAAGCAGAACUCUAGGGUGCUAAUGUUUAUGGUUCCAGAGCUGAUUACACCACCCCAUGAUGAGUUUGUAACUGAUGGGAAGAGAUUGCUUAGUGGAAAAGAGUGAGUAGAUUUUGGCAUGCCCAAAUCUGGAAGUGAAAAAAGCAACAACAACAAAAAAAACAGAGCAGCAAGGAAAAUCGGUAAGCUUUACCCUGCAGCAAAAAUAUCAAUCUGUUCUUAAGGAAUUAAGUGCUUCACAAAGGUGAGUUCUCCAUGUGACUAAGGCUUCAAUUAUUCAUCGUGGACAGUAACCCAGUGCAGUUUGAAGGUCCUUGUCAUUACAGGUGACCUAGUAAAUAUUUGACAACUAGCUCACCAGGAAAGAAAAAAAAAAAAGCUUUGAUUAUGGUGUUUGCAAAUUUCUUGGGGUAAAUAUCCCACUGUGGCUCAUUUCAGGCUACCACAGGACAUCACAGAACACAGAAUUAGAAGAAGGUAUGUAUUAUCAAACUAUAAUAUUUCUAUAAUACGGAUAUGAUCACCAUAACCACAAAAACAUGGAUAAUAGUAAAAUGAGGAAAUGAAUUUUGAUAUUUAUUAUUCUUAUAUAUUGGAUUUUAACAUAAUUGUUAGCUUACAUAGUUAAUUCUUCAUAAAGGCUGUGUUUAACAGCCUGCAAAAUUUCUAAAAAUGUUUAAAUGUACUCAUAAAGCAGUAUAAGCCAGCUCUAGCAUAUACUGCUUUCUGCACUCUUAGUUUUGGAAGUGACUUAGGCAAUAGCUAAUAUGAGUUGAAUCCUUCAUGCCUUUUUCAUAUUCCUCCAUGUAUAUGAUACCUUGUUAUGACUUUAUUACUUUUUAAAAUCUUCUGAGCCAGCUGUAAAUGUUUAAUUUGUCACUUGUAAAUAAACACAAACAAAAGGAACUCCAUAAACAAUGGGAAUAGAGACAUUUCCUCAAGGAAGAAAUAUAGACAGCAAAACAGCACAUGAAAAGAUGCUGAACAUCAUUAGUCACUAGGUAAAUGCAAAUUAAAAUAACAAUGAGCUAUACCACUACAUACCUAUUAGAAUGGCUGAUUAAAAAGACUGGUCAUAACAGGUCAGGGGGAAUUGGAAUUCUCAGUAUAUAACUAGUGAGAAUGUAAAAUGGUACAACCACUUGGAAAACAGCUUGGCAGUUUCUUAAAAAGGUAAAUGUAUACCUAUCAUAAUCCACCUAUUCCAUUCCUACCUAUUUACCAAAAAGAAAACCUAUGUCCAUACAAACACUUAUACAAGAGUAUUUGUUAUAGACAAAAACUGGAAACAACCAGAAUGUCCACCGAUGGGUGAAUGGAUAUAGAAAUUGUGGCAUAUCCAUACAA